GAUGAACGCUGACGGAAUGCUUAACACAUGCAAGUCUACUUGAACUUCGGUUUGGGUGGCGGACGGGUGAGUAACGCGUAAAGAACUUGCCUCACAGUUAGGGACAACAUUUGGAAACGAAUGCUAAUACCUGAUAUUAUGAUUUUAGGGCAUCCUAGGAUUAUGAAAGCUAUAUGUGCUGUGAGAGAGCUUUGCGUCCCAUUAGCUAGUUGGAGAGGUAACGGCUCACCAAGGCGAUGAUGGGUAGCCGGCCUGAGAGGGUGAACGGCCACAAGGGGACUGAGACACGGCCCUUACUCCUACGGGAGGCAGCAGUGGGGAAUAUUGGACAAUGGACCAAAAGUCUGAUCCAGCAAUUCUGUGUGCACGAUGACGUUUUUCGGAAUGUAAAGUGCUUUCAGUUGGGAAGAAAAAAAUGACGGUACCAACAGAAGAAGUGACGGCUAAAUACGUG
rnacentral:rRNA from 1 species